rnacentral:rRNA from 1 species
GACGUAGGGCGCAAGCGUUGUCCGGAUUUAUUGGGCGUAAAGAGCUCGUAGGCGGCUCGUUGCGUCGGCUGUGAAAACCCGCAGCUCAACUGUGGGCUUGCAGCCGAUACGGGCGGGCUGGAGUUCGGUAGGGGAGACUGGAAUUCCUGGUGUAGCGGUGAAAUGCGCAGAUAUCAGGAGGAACACCGGUGGCGAAGGCGGAUCUCUGGGCCAUUACUGACGCUGAGGAGCGAAAGCGUGGGGAGCGAACAGG